rnacentral:snoRNA from 1 species
AAAUGAUGAAACCUAAACUGAAAUUAGCUGGAAUUACCGGCAGAUUGCUCAGUGGUGACAUGGUUUUCUGACA